UAAAGGAAGCGAUUCCGGCUACGGAUGGUCAUGCGUCGCAUUAGCUAGUUGGCGGGGUAACGGCCCACCAAGGCGACGAUGCGUAGGGGUUCUGAGAGGAAGGUCCCCCACACUGGUACUGAGACACGGACCAGACUCCUACGGGAGGCAGCAGUGAGGAAUAUUGGUCAAUGGCCGCAGGGCUGAACCAGCCAAGUCGCGUGAGGGAUGACGGUCCUAUGGAUUGUAAACCUCUUUUGUCAGGGAGCAAAGGGCGCCACGUGUGGCGCUUUGCGAGUACCUGAAGAAAAAGCAUCGGCUAACUCCGUGCCAGCAGCCGCGGUAAUACGGAGGAUGCGAGCGUUAUCCGGAUUUAUUGGGUUUAAAGGGUGCGCAGGCGGAAUGUCAAGUCAGCGGUAAAAUUUCGGGGCUCAACCCCGUCGUGCCGUUGAAACUGGCGUUCUUGAGUGAGCGAGAAGUAUGCGGAAUGCGUGGUGUAGCGGUGAAAUGCAUAGAUAUCACGCAGAACUCCGAUUGCGAAGGCAGCAUACCGGCGCCCAACUGACGCUCAUGCACGAAAGCGUGGGUAUCGAACAGGAUUAGAUACCCUGGUAGUCCACGCAGUAAACGAUGAAUACUAACUGUCCGGGCAGAAUGAUGCCUGG
rnacentral:rRNA from 1 species